rnacentral:rRNA from 1 species
ACGUACACUCCUACGGGAGGCAGCAGUGAGGAAUAUUGGACAAUGGGUGGAAGCCUGAUCCAGCCGUCCCGCGUGCAGGAAGACGGCCCUAUGGGUUGUAAACUGCUUUUAUCUGGGGAUAAACCUACUUACGUGUAAGUAGCUGAAGGUACCAGAAGAAUAAGCACCGGCUAACUCCGUGCCAGCAGCCGCGGUAAUACGGAGGGUGCAAGCGUUAUCCGGAUUUAUUGGGUUUAAAGGGUCCGUAGGCGGACUGAUAAGUCAGUGGUGAAAUCCGACAGCUUAACUGUCGAACUGCCAUUGAUACUGUUAGUCUUGAGUAAGGUUGAAGUGGCUGGAAUAAGUAGUGUAGCGGUGAAAUGCAUAGAUAUUACUUAGAACACCAAUUGCGAAGGCAGGUCACUAAGUCUUAACUGACGCUGAUGGACGAAAGCGUGGGGAGCGAACAGGAUUAGAAACCCGGGUAGUCCC